GAAAUGCGAUAAGUAAUGUGAAUUGCAGAAUUCAGUGAAUCAUCGAAUCUUUGAACGCACAUUGCGCCCGCCAGAAUUCUGGCGGGCAUGCCUGUUCGAGCGUCAUUUCAACCCUCGAGCUCCCCUUUCGGGGGGGGCCCGGCGUUGGGGACCCGGCGCUAACAACGCCGGCCCCGAAAUGGAGUGGCGGCCCGUCCGCGGCGACCUCUGCGUAGUAACAACCACUCGCACCGGGACCCGGGCGCGGCCACGCCGUAAAACACCCCACCUUCCGAAUGUUGACCUCGAAUCAGGUAGGAAUACCCGCUGAACUUAAGC
rnacentral:misc_RNA from 1 species